rnacentral:rRNA from 1 species
GACGAACGCUGGCGGCGUGCUUAACACAUGCAAGUCGAACGGAAAGGCCCUGCUUUUGUGGGGUGCUCGAGUGGCGAACGGGUGAGUAACACGUGAGUAACCUGCCCUUGACUUUGGGAUAACUUCAGGAAACUGGGGCUAAUACCGGAUAGGAGCUCCUGCUGCAUGGUGGGGGUUGGAAAGUUUCGGCGGUUGGGGAUGGACUCGCGGCUUAUCAGCUUGUUGGUGGGGUAGUGGCUUACCAAGGCUUUGACGGGUAGCCGGCCUGAGAGGGUGACCGGCCCCAUUGGGACUGAGAUACGGCCCAGACUCCUACGGGAGGCAGCAGUGGGGAAUAUUGCACAGUGGGCGGAAGCCUGAUGCAGCAACGCCGCGUGCGGGAUGACGGCCUUCGGGUUGUAAACCGCUUUCGCCUGUGACGAAGCGUGAGUGACGGUAAUGGGUAAAGAAGCACCGGCUAACUACGUG